rnacentral:misc_RNA from 1 species
AAGAAAUUUAAUAAUUUUGAAAAUGGAUUUUUUUGUUUUGGCAAGAGCAUGAGAGCUUUUACUGGGCAAGAAGACAAGAGAUGGAGAGUCCAGCCGGGCCUGCGCUUAAGUGCGCGGUCUUGCUAGGCUUGUAAGUUUCUUUCUUGCUAUUCCAAACGGUGAGAGAUUUCUGUGCUUUUGUUAUAGGACAAUUAAAACCGUUUCAAUACAACACACUGUGGAGUUUUCAUAUCUUUGCAACUUUUUCUUUGGGCAUUCGAGCAAUCGGGGCCCAGAGGUAACAAACACAAACAAUUUUAUCUAUUCAUUAAAUUUUUGUCAAAAACAAGAAUUUUCGUAACUGGAAAUUUUAAAAUAUUAAAAACUUUCAACAACGGAUCUCUUGGUUCUCGCAUCGAUGAAGAACGCAGCGAAAUGCGAUACGUAAUGUGAAUUGCAGAAUUCCGUGAAUCAUCGAAUCUUUGAACGCACAUUGCGCCCCUUGGUAUUCCAGGGGGCAUGCCUGUUUGAGCGUCAUUUCCUUCUCAAACAUUCUGUUUGGUAGUGAGUGAUACUCUUUGGAGUUAACUUGAAAUUGCUGGCCUUUUCAUUGGAUGUUUUUUUUCCAAAGAGAGGUUUCUCUGCGUGCUUGAGGUAUAAUGCAAGUACGGUCGUUUUAGGUUUUACCAACUGCGGCUAAUCUUUUUUUUAUACUGAGCGUAUUGGAACGUUAUCGAUAAGAAGAGAGCGUCUAGGCGAACAAUGUUCUUAAAGU